rnacentral:tRNA from 1 species
CGCGGGAUGGAGCAGUCUGGUAGCUCGUCGGGCUCAUAACCCGGAGGUCGUUGGUUCAAAUCCAGCUCCCGCAA